UACGUAGGGCGCAAGCGUUAUCCGGAAUUAUUGGGCGUAAAGAGCUCGUAGGCGGUUUGUCGCGUCUGCCGUGAAAGUCCGGGGCUCAACUCCGGGAUCUGCGGUGGGUACGGGCAGACUAGAGUGAUGUAGGGGGAGACUGGAAAUUUCCUGGUGUAGGCGGUGAAAAUUGCGCAGGAUAUCAAGGAGGAACACCGAUGGC
rnacentral:rRNA from 1 species